ensembl:lncRNA
GGCAACCCGUCCCAAUGCCUGACUGCUCUUUCUGAGAAGAAAUGUCUCCUCAUUUCCAACCUGAACCUCCCCUGGCGCAACUUGAGGCCAUUCCCUCUAGUCCUAUCACUAGCUACCUGUGAGAAGAGGCCGACCCCCAGCUCCCCAAACCUUCCUUUCAGGUAGCUGUAGAGAGCAAUAAGGUCUCCCCGAGCCUCCUCGUCUCCAGACUAAACAACCCCAGUUCCCUGGGGAAUAAUAAGGCCCUGGCCCAGGCUAUGUGUUUGUUCUCAUCUCUCUCCAUGACCAAAUAGACACUAAAGGCUUGCCAAUGGAGAUUACACAUGCAAGCAAAAAUCUGAGGCUGUGGGAAGCUGCUCACAGCCCUCGUCCCAUUCAGGAUAACACAGCUCAAUUUUAACAAAUUUGGGGGAAUCAGGAGAGGUUAAGGUACAAGACAGGAGGACAUGUACAAUGCUAGUAACUGGCUUGAAGGACACACACACAAGCUUGUGUCUCAAAGCUCCCAGAUUAAAAUUUACUGCAUUUUCAGGUAUAUCAUUUUGUCACCCUCAAAGUAUCCUGCAUCCCUCCCCAAGCUCCCUGAUGACUCGAGGCCAAAGAAGAAUGUACAAAGAUCCCUUCUAUUUUCCAUAAUUUCAGGGAGGAUGGCCCUGGCUAGCCUCCGCGGAUUACUUACACUGACCUCCUGCUUCUGCACGUACCCACAACUGGCCAAGAUGCUGAAGACUCAAAGCUGGCUUCCAGUGGGGUCCAAGCAGCAGGAUUUGUGGGGACUUACAAGGUGUGAGCUUUGGCUCUGUUCUUCUGCCCUGCUGGCCACUAGCAUGCACGAAGGGCCGGUGAGCCCAGCUUUGCUGUCUACCAGCAAUAGCUAUUGCUGCCCCUCCAGCUUCUGAGGCUGCCAAGUCUUUAAUGACUCCAGUCUAGUGAGCAAACAGAGGAAGCUGUAUAAUACUGUCCUUGUGAUUUUUGGCUACAUUUUAAACGCCUGGCUAUAUGUUUUGGCUAUACAUUUUUAAUGCUUUCCUGACAUGUAAACAAAACCAUCUCCCUUUCCUUGUGUGAUUCUGGAUUCGAUCAAAGGCAUGUUACUUGCCAGCUUGGCUGCUAUGAAAAUUGACAUUGAUCUUCAGAGCAAAUAUUCACCAUGUUUGAGAACAAUGUUGCCUUUGUGCAUGUGAAAGCAAUCCCAUCUGGUACCGCACACCCAUGCUUCACUGAAAUGUUUACAGUGAACGCUAAGGUGAUCGGUGCAGCUGAUGGAUUAUUAAAUAUAACACAUGGAUGCAAGCAUUCAGCUGGCUUUUUGAUAAAUAGAGUAUGUUUCAGUCUCAGAGAGAACCAGGAACCACUUCUUAGCUUUCAGUAUCUAUCAUGCCAUGGUAAUUUGAAGGCAUCCAAAUGAAACUCAUGAGUUUUCUUCUUCCAUUUACAUAGCUUUGAAAAUCAGUCUGUCUGCAGAAUGGGCAGAUUCCCACUUUCCCAUCUGAGCUUUCUUGCAAGAAACUGAACAUCAACAUUGCUGCAAAGCAAGAUUGUGUCAUCCUUCGUGGGCUAUGAGAAUUGCUAAUCAGCAGCCAACAGAAGAAUAAGAAUUGGUCAGUAUUCUUGCCUUACCAUUGCCUGCUCUUCCCAAAAUACUCCUUUUUCUGUUUUCUUCCUUCCUAAAAACUGAACAACAAAAAAAAAGGAAUAUUGGCAUUAAAAACAAUUGCCUAUAAUUAACACAAAUGUCUUCACCACCUUACAAGAAUCCUGACCCUCUAGGAUUUUUUUUCCUCUGUCACAACUUCUAGGUAUCCUAGUGAUAUUCAGACAGCGUUCUACAGAGCACUUCACUGAUGUCCGUGAAGGGUCGCAAAGAAAAGCAAUCUUUUCUCUGUAGGCUUCACAUUACUAUGCAGGGGUCUGAAGAAGAUGAAAAUCACUGUUGUAUCUGUUGCGUCUCCCCUUCCAUCUCCACACCAGCCUGUUUCAUCCUUCCUCAUCAAAUCCCCUCCAGUGCUUCCUGGGCACACGCAGCACUCUGGUACAAGCAGAGCUAGCACAGAAAGCUGCGGCAGCUGUCCCAAAGCAUUUACCUAAUUUUCUAUGUUCAUGUCGCCCUGGCACUCCCUAUGGCAGGGAUCUUCACAGCAUACAGCAAAAACAACAUCAUGAGGAAAUGAAGGUAAGAACCCCAACACACAUUGAGUUGCAACAGAAUGUGGCAAUGCACAUUUUGUUAGGGAUUCAGAAAACUGAUUUGCUAAAGCUGCCCAAAAAAAGCUAGUUUUCUUUUUCCUCAUACACUCUUCCUUCUUUAUUCAUUCAAAAGAACAACAACAAAAAAAUGCUAACUCAUCCAAAGAAAUUCAUGUCAUUGUUUAAAAAUAAAAUAAAACUUACUUAAGAUCUUAAUGAAAUA